UACAGAGGUGACAAACGUUGUCCGGAAUUAUUGGGCGUAAAGGGCGCGUAGGUGGUUGAGUAAGUCAGGUGUGAAAGCUCUGGGCUUAACCCAGGAAUUGCAUCUGAUACUGCUCGGCUUGAGUACGGUAGAGGAGGGUGGAAUUCCCAGUGUAGCGGUGAAAUGCGUAGAUAUCUGGAGGAACACCGGUGGCGAAGGCGGCAUCCUGGACCGGCAUUGACGCUGAGGAGCGAAAGCCAGGGGAGCAAACGGG
rnacentral:rRNA from 1 species